rnacentral:rRNA from 1 species
AUUGAACGCUGGCGGCAGGCUUAACACAUGCAAGUCGAGCGAGCGGCGGACGGGUGAGUAAUGUCUGGGAAACUGCCUGAUGGAGGGGGAUACCUACUGGAAACGGUAGCUAAUACCGCAUACCAUCAGAUGUGCCCAGAUGGGAUUAGCUAGUAGGUGGGGUAAUGGCUCACCAAGGCGACGAUCCCUAGCUGGUCUGAGAGGAUGACCGGCCAAACUGGAACGGAGACACGGUCCAGACUCCUACGGAGGGCAGCGGAGGGGAAUAUUGCACAAUGGGGGAAAUCCUGAGACAGCCAUGCCGCGUGGGUGAAGAAGGCCUUCGGGUUGUAAAGCACUGUCAGCGAGGAGGCGUUACUCGCAGAAGAAGCACCGGCUAACUCCGUGCCAGCAGCCGCGGUAAUAC